UUAUCGUCGACGGUAAUGGUGGACGUGGGUUCCUAAAAGUAGGUUUGGUGGGUGCAAAAUCUGCUGUAGUAGAGGUGGAGGGCGAAUGUGGAGGAAGAGAUGCAUUGUCGUUCUCGUUACCACCGGGGAAGGCCGCGGAGGCGGUGGAGGACGGUCGGAGAGAAAAAAAAGAAGGUAGCGGUGCAGCCUCGGCAGGGUUGGAGGCGAGAAGGGCGGGGGGUGCGGGCGCGGUCGAGGGCAAGGGUACGCGGGG
rnacentral:lncRNA from 1 species